AGAGUUUGAUCCUGGCUCAGGAUGAACGCUAGCGGCAGGCUUAACACAUGCAAGUCGAGGGGCAGCGGGGAGUAGCAAUACUCUGCCGGCGACCGGCAAAAGGGUGCGUAACGCGUGAGCAACUUGCCCGUAUCUGGGGGAUAACCGAUGGAAACGUCGCCUAAUACCCCGUAACAAGGGUUCCUGCAUGGGAGUCCUUUGAUAGCUCCGGCGGAUACGGAUGGGCUCGCGUGACAUUAGCUAGAUGGCGGGGUAACGGCCCACCAUGGCGACGAUGUCUAGGGGUUCUGAGAGGAAGAUCCCCCACACUGGAACUGAGACACGGUCCAGACUCCUACGGGAGGCAGCAGUGAGGAAUAUUGGACAAUGGAGGCAACUCUGAUCCAGCCAUGCCGCGUGAAGGACUAAGGCCCUACGGGUCGUAAACUUCUUUUGACGCAGGGCAAUAAGGCGUACGUGUACGCCGAUGAGAGUAUGCGUCGAAUAAGCAUCGGCUAACUCCGUGCCAGCAGCCGCGGUAAUACGGAGGAUGCAAGCGUUAUCCGGAUUUAUUGGGUUUAAAGGGUGCGUAGGCGGAUGAUUAAGUCAGUGGUGAAAGGUCCCGGCUCAACCGGGGAGCUGCCAUUGAUACUGGUCGUCUUGAAUGCGGAUGCCGUGGGAGGAAUGUGUGGUGUAGCGGUGAAAUGCAUAGAUAUCACACAGAACACCGAUUGCGAAGGCAUCUCACGAAUCCGUUAUUGACGCUGAGGCACGAAAGCGUGGGGAUCAAACAGGAUUAGAUACCCUGGUAGUCCACGCAGUAAACGAUGAUGACUAACCGCCGGCGAUACACAGUCGGUGGCCAAGCGAAAGCGAUAAGUCAUCCACCUGGGGAGUACGACCGCAAGGUUGAAACUCAAAGGAAUUGACGGGGGCCCGCACAAGCGGAGGAACAUGUGGUUUAAUUCGAUGAUACGCGAGGAACCUUACCCGGGCUCGAACGGCAGGGGAAUGGAUCAGAGAUGGUCCAGUCUUCGGACUCCUGUCGAGGUGCUGCAUGGUUGUCGUCAGCUCGUGCCGUGAGGUGUCGGCUCAAGUGCCAUAACGAGCGCAACCCUUGUCGUCAGUUACCAGCACGUAAUGGUGGGGACUCUGGCGAGACUGCCACCGCAAGGUGUGAGGAAGGGGGGGAUGACGUCAAAUCAGCACGGCCCUUACGUCCGGGGCGACACACGUGUUACAAUGGUGGGUACAGAGGGGUGCUACCUGGUGACAGGAUGCUGAUCUCGAAAACCCAUCUCAGUUCGGACUGGAGUCAGCAACCCGACUCCACGAAGCUGGAUUCGCUAGUAAUCGCGCAUCAGCCAUGGCGCGGUGAAUACGUUCCCGGGCCUUGCACACACCGCCCGUCA
rnacentral:rRNA from 1 species